UCACGAAUGGUCUAGUGGCUAGAAUACCUGGCUCUCACCCAGGAGGCUCGGGUUCGGUUCCCGGUACGAGAA
rnacentral:tRNA from 1 species